rnacentral:lncRNA from 1 species
GGCGGGUGCCUGUAGUCCUGGCUACUUGGGAGGCUGAGGCUGGAGAAUCGCUUGAACCUGGGAGGUAGAGGUUGCAGUGAGCCAAGAUUGUGCCAUUGCACUCCAGCCUGUGCGACAGAGCCAGAUUCUGUCUCUAAGAAAAGAAAAGAAAAGAAAAGGAAAGAAAAGGAAAGAAAAGGAAAGAAACACACCUGUAGAAGAGGAAAUGAAGAGCACUGAAAUGGACAAGCGGAAGCACCGCAGCUAUUCAACCUAACACGAGAGGCUCUGGCUAGUGCCAUAAGAUGAGAAAAUGAAAAGAUAGGAAGAGAAGAGGGAGGGAAGAGACGCAGCUGUCAUCACACGCAGAUUAUAUAUCAUCUACAUAGAAACCCAACAGAAUGAACAGAAAAUUGAUUGGAACUA